GAUGAACGCUGGCGGCGUGCCUAAUACAUGCAAGUCGAGCGAACAGACGAGGAGCUUGCACUUCUGACGAUAGCGGCGGACGGGUGAGUAACAAGUGGAUAACCUACCUACAAGACUGGGAGAACUUCGGGAAACCGGAGUCAAUACCGGAUAAUAUAUCGAACCGAACGGUUCAAUAGUGAAAGACGGUAGUGCGAUUACGUAUGGACGGAUCCGCGCCGCAUUAGCUAGUUGGUAAGGUAACGGCACAUCAAGGGAACGAUGGCUAGCCGGCAUGAGAGGCUGGGCGGCGACACUUGCACUGGGACACGGUAGAGACUCUUACGGGAGGGAGCAGUAGGGAACGGUGGGAAACGGGGGGAGGGCUGACGGUGUACCGCUGCGUGAGCGCCGUAGGUAGUCGGAUCGUAAUCUGUAGUCAUCGAGGCAGAUAAUGACGGUACCCGAGCAGGAAGCCCCGGCUAACUACGUG
rnacentral:rRNA from 1 species